GGCUAGAACGAACGCUGGCGGCGUGCUUACACAUGCAAGUCACGGGGGCCCGCAAGGGCAACCGGCGAACGGGUGCGUAACACGUGAGCAACCUGCCUAGAUGUGGGGGAUAGCCGGCCCAACGGCCGGGUAAUACCGCAUACGGUCACGGGGAGGAGUCUCCUUGUGAAGAAACCUCCGGGGCAUUUAGAGGGGCUCGCGGCCUAUCAGCUAGUUGGCGGGGUAAUGGCCCACCAAGGCAUCGACGGGUAGCUGGUCUGAGAGGAUGGCCAGCCACAUUGGGACUGAGAAACGGCCCAGACUCCUACGGGAGGCAGCAGUGGG
rnacentral:rRNA from 1 species